rnacentral:snRNA from 1 species
ACACUUACCUGGUGCCGGGCCUCGUUGAUCACGGAGGCGAGCGCCCGAGUGGGAGGGGCGGGCAUUGCACUGCGCUCGCGUUGACCUUUGUUACCAUCCCAAACUGGAGACGAUGAGGAAUGCUAAUUGGUUAAAUCCUGUUCAAUGCAGGAG